UUUUUGCAGGCGAUAAUUUACACUGUUAUUAAUGUAUUUUUAAAAUGUGAACUUUCGGUAUUUUAAAUGAGAUGUACUUUUAAAACACCAAGACACAUCUCAAAAUAAUGCAACAUUCAGCAUGACACGGUAAUUAAUGCUUUUAGAUGUGUCGUGCAUUUAUAUGCAGAGCAGAUUAAAUUACAUCAGGAUUGGCUAUCCUGCGCAGUGAAGUAUAGAACAAUUUCAGUCUUGAGGUGGCUGAUGAUGGCAUGGAAUAGUAAAACAAUAUAACAAGACCUUAUUUUUCUCCAUGGAUAUUGUGAAGCAAAAUACCACUAAGUUAAAGAAAAACAGACGUUUCAGUGCGACUGUGAUCAGACCAUGUGGAACCAGACACAGCUGGUGAUUGAUAGUGGAAGACAAGGGAUGCAGAGGAUUGUGUCAUCUGAAAAGGACCUGCACUCCAGUGGACUGAGGUUCUGAGUAAGGACAACCCCAGCACUCCCAGAGAUUCAAAGCUGAGGCCAAAGCUAUUUACACCUUUCUUCCUAAUUCUCUUUCCAUGCAUGUAACUUCCUAAACUGCUUACAGCACUCCUUUUCUUGGUGUCGGGUCAGGUGUUGAGUCUGGGUUGCGUGGAAGCACCACAGUUUGAAUGUGCAAGGAAGAGCACGCAUUUGGAAGGGGAGUGGAGGCAAACUUUCAAACAGAGAGCGGUGGGUGUCUGGAAUGGGAUGCCAAGCCAUGUUGUUGCUGUUGAUUCAUUGGAAUCCUGCAAGAGCCAACUGGAUCCUGGAAUCAAUUAUAACUGAUUGAGCAUUGAUGAGCCAAAUGGUUUCAGCUUGUUUGUAUCUUUUAUAAAUGUUCUUAUGUAUAAAGUAACGUCUGUCUGCUCUGAAAAUGUAGCACGGCUCUUUUGGCAGUGGGCGCACGUUGGUCUCUGAAUCUGAAGACCGUGGUUUGAUACUCAUUCACUAUUGUACACUAUCUACCCAUUCCAGCAUUGCCUUGUAUGAGCACACUUUGAGAAAACAAGCAAACCAACCAAUACAAAAUCAAAGCAGAGGCAUUGUUCUAAUUUUCUAACAUCGCACAAAGGCAAUUUGGAAUAAAUCACGAUGACCACCAGUCAACGACAGCAUUGAAUCCCCCCUGACCAGCCGGAUAUGAUUCAGACUGGAAUUGACCAGAUCCAAAUCUUUUCUGUUCUGCAUUCUCCUGAUUUCUGGAGAAGAUGUCAGGAUACGUUGACACAGACUAGAAACAAAACCUGCUAUCAGUGCUGCACUGUUCAGAACUCCAGCGGCCUUCCGAAGGAGAAGGGCGACCCCAUCAUGCCUGGGUCUUGUCAUGACUGGGUCUUGUCAUGCCUGUAAGGUAAAUCAGAACAGGGGCAAACUGAAAAGGCAACAUAGGUCCAUUCACAGUCACAACUGCAGCUUAAUGGGUUUGAAAUUGCAUUAAAUAGCAAAGAAUGCCACUUGAUAUAUGGGUAUGUUUAAUCACCUUUCACGUACUGUAUGAUUCAAGCCAGUGUCGUCAACCAUAUUGAUAUAUGAGAAUACAGUGUACCAGAAACUCAAUAUGGUCCAGUUGAUGUCAUGGAAAGGGUUUGUUUCUGACGUGUCAUGUGGCAUACGGCCUGCAAGACCCACACCCUGAUUGACUGAAGGCUCCUCAACAAAUAUAUGACGGCAGAACAUAUUCCUUUAGGUGCCACUCCCUUUCAAACCAUCUUUCUACCAUCUUAACUCUGUGACAGGUGUGGAGCGGUAAUGCACACCAGGGGCGGCCGGUUAACAGUGUUCGCUUGCUCGCCGAACCCCCAGUCUCUUAUUAAUGAAUUGCACUUCCCUUCUUCUGGGUGAUGUGCGUUUCAUUUCCCCCCUCUCACGUGACACAUCAACAAUAAUAAUAAUAUAUUUUAUAUAUUUUGGCAAAGGACUGUGGUUUGAUACUCAUUCACGAUUGUACACUAUCUACCAUUCCAGCAUUUCCUUGUAUGAGCACACUGUUUGAGAAAACAAUCAAACCAACCAAUACAAAAUCAAAGCAGAGGCGUUGUUCUAAUUUUCUAACAUCGCACAAAGGCAAUUUGGAAUAAACCACAAUGACCACCAGUCAACGACAGCAUUGAAUCCCCCCUGACCAGCCGGAUCCGAUUCAGACUGGAAUUGACCAGAUCCAAGCAUCUUUUCUGUUCUGCAUUCUCCUGAUUUCCUGAUAGGGCAACAGUGUGGAGUAGUGGUUAGGGCACUGGACUCUUGACCGGAGGGUCGUGGGUUCAGUCCCAGGUGGAGGACACUGCUGCUGUACCCUUGAGCAAGGUACUUUAUCUAGAUUGCUCCAGUAAAAACCCAACUGUAUAAAUGGGUAAUUGUAUGUAAAAAAUAAUGUGUAAAAAAUAAUGUAAUUGUAUGUAAAAAUAAUUGUAAGUCGCCCUGGAUAAGGGCGUCUGCUAAUAAAUAAAUAAAUAAAUAAAUAAAUAAAUAAUAAUAAUAAUAAUAAUAAUAAUAAUAAUAAUAAUAAUAAUAAUAAUAAUAUAGCGCCUUUCAUAGUGGACCACCAUCACAAAGCGCAUUACAGAGGUAGGCUGUGAACUGUGCUUUAUAUGCAGAAUCACUUACAAUAGGACAUUGAUUUAACAUCUCAGCCACAGGAUGGAGCACAAGGAGGUUAAGUGACUUGCUAAGGUCACACAGUGAGUCAGUCAGUGGCAACGGUGGGAUUUGAACCAGUAACCUUCUGGUUACAAGCCCUAGACUUGACUGGACCACACUGCCUCCUUAGCAAUGACGUUCAUCCCACCUGUUUAAUGGGCUGAAGGUGGGCUGUGCUCGCUCAGAAAUGCAAGCACCCAAAUCUGCCGUGCACAUGAGCAGUAUCAGCCAGCAGUCAGCCAGGACUAGCUAUGAUUGGCUUAAUGUCUGGAUGGAGCGCAGCUGGUUAGCAAACAUGGUGAUCAGACGAUCAGUGCACAUGUGCCAAGACAACAAAGGCUAUAAAUAUGAGCAACACUUCGGCUCUUCUGUCUUGUAUGGUGUGUUACUUUGUUACUUUGUGUUAGUUUAAAUAUUAAAAUAAAAGUCUAAUUUUCUUUGUCCAAAUUUAAAUUAAUAUUUAUGGAUACUGUUAUUUGUUCAACUUCAUUCAGUACAUUAUAUUUGUAUUUUAAUACUAUUUAUAUAAUAUUUUGUUUAAUCUUGUUGAUUUUCUAUUACUGUUUGUUUGUAGCUGAUCAGUCUUUUAUUAGGUCUAUAUAAAUUAUCUACUGGUUCCUGGGGGAAAAAAAAUCAACUUCAUUGUUAAUUACAGUGUUUUUAUUUAUUUAUUGUUUCCUUUGGCCUUAAUUGUGACUUCCAUUUAAGGUCUUAUUUUUUCCUGUUCUUGGUCUUUGAACUUGGGAUUGAUUUAGAUUCAGGGACAACUUCAAUUUAAAUAAAAGCACAUUUACAUUUUCGAGUACAUUCGGAGUGUUUAAUAUAUUUGUCUUAUUUCAACAUCUCACUUUUUAUAGGAUUUUUUUAUUUUUUUAUUUAAUGAAUGAAAACUGAAUGAUUAAAUGAUUUAGCCAUGUUAUCAAUUGAAAAAGACAUGAUGGCUGACAUUCCUGACUUUAAAAAUAAAGUAAUCAAAAAUUUGCCACAAUAAGACAUUGCAGAGCAAGCUUUUUAUAUCGCUUCCAACAGUAAACACAUCCACUGGACAGUGCUGCUACCACUGAGGUUUGCCCCCUGGACCCCACCCCCCCGGACCCCAUCCCAUCACC